GUACUCACUUUGGCAGCACAUAUACUAAAAUUGGAAUGAUACAGAGAUUAGCAUGGCCCCUGUGAAAGGAUGAUAUACAAAUUCAUGGUGUUCCCUAUUUUUAU